AACGAACGCUGGCGGCAUGCCUAACACAUGCAAGUCGAACGAGACCUUCGGGUCUAGUGGCGCACGGGUGCGUAACGCGUGGGAACCUGCCCUUAGGUUCGGAAUAACUCCCCGAAAGGGGUGCUAAUACCGGAUAAUGUCUUCGGACCAAAGAUUUAUCGCCUUUGGAUGGGCCCGCGUUGGAUUAGCUAGUUGGUAGGGUAAAAGCCUACCAAGGCGACGAUCCAUAGCUGGUCUGAGAGGAUGAUCAGCCACACUGGGACUAAGACACGGCCCAGACUCGUACGGGAGGGAGCAGUGGGGAAUAUUGGACAAUGGGCGAAAGCGUGAUCCAGCAAUGCCGGGUGAGUGAUGAAGGGGUUAGGGUUGUAAAGCUCUUUUACCCGGGAUGAUAAUGACAGUACCGGGAGAAUAAGCACCGGCUAACUCCGUG
rnacentral:rRNA from 1 species